CCGUUCCUUCUCAAUGAGCCGCCGGAUCUCCAAGUAAGGAGGCCAGGGCCGCCGGAUUCGGUGACCCCAGUCUCCUCGCUGGCAGAUCUGGCGCCCAGAGAAGUACAAG
rfam:Oryza glaberrima chromosome 5 Oglab05_0087_11, whole genome shotgun sequence.